rnacentral:rRNA from 1 species
GAGGGGCAUCAGGAAGAAAGCUUGCUUUCUUUGCUGGCGACCGGCGCACGGGUGAGUAACACGUAUCCAACCUGCCCUUUACUCGGGGAUAGCCUUUCGAAAGAAAGAUUAAUACCCGAUAGCAUAAUGAUUCCGCAUGGUUUCAUUAUUAAAGGAUUCCGGUAAAGGAUGGGGAUGCGUUCCAUUAGGUUGUUGGUGAGGUAACGGCUCACCAAGCCUUCGAUGGAUAGGGGUUCUGAGAGGAAGGUCCCCCACAUUGGAACUGAGACACGGUCCAAACUCCUACGGGAGGCAGCAGUGAGGAAUAUUGGUCAAUGGGCGUUAGCCUGAACCAGCCAAGUAGCGUGAAGGAUGAAGGCUCUAUGGGUCGUAAACUUCUUUUAUAUAAGAAUAAAGUGCAGUAUGUAUA